rnacentral:rRNA from 1 species
UCUAGAGGCUUCGGCAAUGGACGAAAGUCUGACCGAGCGACGCCGCGUGCGGGAUGAAGGGCUUCGGCUUGUAAACCGCUUUUCCCUGGGAAGAAGGUUUUCCUCGUGAAGGGAAGUUUGACGGUACCAGGGGAAUAAGCCCCGGCUAACUCCGUGCCAGCAGCCGCGGUAAGACGGAGGGGGCAAGCGUUGUUCGGAAUUAUUGGGCGUAAAGGGCUCGUAGGCUGACAGGUAAGUCUGGCGUGAAAUCUCCACCGCUCACCGGGGAGAGGUCGCUGGAAACUGCCUGUCUGGAGUUCGGCAGAGGACCAUGGAAUUCCAGGUGUAGCGGUGGAAUGCGUAGAUAUCUGGAAGAACACCGGUGGCGAAGGCGGUGGUCUGGGCCGAAACUGACGCUGAGGAGCGAAAGCCAGGGGAGCAAACGG